UAUACCAUUAAAAAAACGUAGGGGAUAUUCCAGUUUGCAAGCAUACCACUAGUUAAUGCCAAUGCAUAUGAGAAAAAUAAUAUAUAUCCAUACUUAUGAAACAUUUCCAAAGGAAUGGAAU